CACAGCCCACUGCCCUGCAGACUUCUUCAUAGCCCAGUAAUAACCUGUGCUGAAGUUAGACUCAGACAGGGCACAGCACAGACAUGAAGACUCCUGCAGAGUUUCUGGCUUUGCUGGUUUGCUGGCUUACAGGUUCCAGAGGUGAUAUUCAGAUGACCCAGUCUCCAGCCUCCUUAUCUGUAUCUCUGGGAGAAAGUGUCACCAUCACAUGCCAGGCAAGUCAGAGCAUUGGUAAUUGGUUAGCAUGGCAUCAGCAGAAACCUGGGAAUCCUCCUAAGCUCCUGAUCUAUUAUGCAAGCAGCUUGGCAGAUGGGACCCCAUCAAGGUUCAGUGGCAGUGCAUCUGGCACACAGUUUUCUCUCCAGAUCAGCAGCCUGCAGCCUGAAGAUGUGGCAAAUUAUUACUGUCAACAGUAUGAUGCUGCUCCUCACACAGUGAUUUAA